GGAUACUUAGCCUACUAUUAAACAUGCCCAUAUACGGCGGAGCUGGGAAAUGGCUCCUAAACGUACAGUUGGAAACUAUCUUGUUACAAACUAUCCAUAAAUAUAAUUUCUUUAUACAUUUCAAAAGGCCUACCGCAGAACAAAUGUAGUCAAUCUUCUGAUGCAGUAAAGCUGAUUGUUGUUGGUUGUAAACUAAACACAUUUAUAUUACAUAUAUGGUUGAUGUCAGGUUCCCAGUUUCUGGGAACUCUUUUGCAGGUUUUCUCCUGCGGGGGGCGUGGUGGAGCCAUGCCUCAGCCGCAGGUGGUGCCGGGGACUGGUGCACCUGCAGACUAUCGGUAAUCAAGCCACCUAUUUAUGGACUGUUCUCACGGUUGGCCAGCAUUGGCGUGUUUUGUCUGAUUCGGAAUACCCUGGCUAUACCCACCUGGACUAUCGUAAGACUUUUUCCUCCGUGGAUUACUUUUGAACCCGUUCCUCGGACUAUCGUUUAUCUAUUUCCUUCGUGGACUGCUUUUGACCCCGCUCGGGAUUUUUUGUUCUUCUCGGAAGACGAUCCGCCACUGUGUCCUGCCUGCUUUCGGGUCCUGAUACAACCGCCCGUAACAUCACACGCCAACCAACAUAGAUCCGGCGGACCAGGACGCAGUGCGCCGUACAUUGGAGGCUCAGGGUAGGUUGCUGGGUCAACACGACCAGCUCCUUACCGACAUCUGGACCUCUCUCCAGACUCUUAACGCCAGCGUGACGAACCUGCUCGCCUCGGGACGAGCGGAGCAGGCCCCGCCUCCGACCCCAGCGGAGGCGCCGAGAGUCGCGUCACUACUGCACCACAAGAGCCCCGCGUUCCUAUCCCGGAGCGGUAUUCCGGGGAGGCAGGUGCGUGUGCCUCAUUCUUGCUCCAGUGCUCGCUUGUUUUUGAUCUCAACCCUUCACAUACCCCAGCGACAGGGCAAAAAUUGCCUUCAUUGUGAACCUACUCUCUGGGAGAGCGGCGCAAUGGGCCACAGCCGUGUUGGCGAAUUACCUACAGACAUAGUUUCUGAUCGGGGUCCACAGUUCUGCUCACAGGUUUGGAGGUCCUUUGCUCUGCGCUGGGAGCUUCGGUCAGUCUUACGUCGGGGUACCACCCACAGGCCAACGGGCAGGCCGAGAGAACCAACCAGAGCCUGGAGGAUGCCCUAAGGUGUGUGUGUGUGUGGCAGCCCAAGACCCAUCGUCCUGGAGCACCUACCUGCCAUGGGUGGAGUACGCCCACAACUCCUUGGUUUCUGCUU
rnacentral:lncRNA from 1 species